rnacentral:rRNA from 1 species
UACAGAGGUCUCAAGCGUUGUUCGGAUUCAUUGGGCGUAAAGGGUGCGUAGGCGGCGCGGUAAGUCGGGUGUGAAAUCUCGGAGCUUAACUCCGAAACUGCAUUCGAUACUGCCCGUGCUUGAGGACUGGAGAGGAGACUGGAAUUCCUGGUGUAGCGGUGAAAUGCGCAGAUAUCAGGAGGAACACCGGUGGCGAAGGCGGGUCUCUGGGCAACAACUGACGCUGAGGAGCGAAAGCGUGGGGAGCGAACAGG